UUGAAAGAAUGCAGAGGAUGUUUCGUUCCAGUCAGUUGGUGGGAGUUCGAAAUCCGAAUUCUGCAGAGUAUCUGAAGGAGAAGAAACAAAACAAUGUUGACAAGUUGGGAAGAAUGCUAUGAACAGGCUGUUUGGAACAACUUCAUGAGAGGUACGUGUAAAUGUGAUAAUACAACUAUGAAAGGGCCUUUUCUUUAAAAUUUAAACCAAUCAAAAUGGAGUAUAAUAUUAACAUGUUUUCCCCACCUAUA